AAGCCUUCGGAUUUGCGAGAUUGGGAUCUCUCAGUAUACUUUCUCAUACGGUUAGUCAACAUCAGUUUUGAAUGUCAUGAAAUGACUGGAGAAAUGUAACUUUGAUCUCGUAUUGAAGUGUUAUAGCCUUUGGUAGAUGUGAUGUUUGAGACCGAGGAUUGCAAUGGAUACCCUUCAGCGCUAUUCGUCUGAUCUCUGAUAUGUUGCCCUGAUGUUGAAAGCUUGCUUAUG
rnacentral:rRNA from 1 species